GUGGGGGAUAUUGCACAAUGGGGGAAACCCUGAUGCAGCGACGCCGCGUGAAGGAAGACGUACUUCGGUAUGUAAACUUCUAUCAGCAGGGAAGAAGAUGACGGUACCUGACUAAGAAGCCCCGGCUAACUACGUGCCAGCAGCCGCGGUAAUACGUAGGGGGCAAGCGUUAUCCGGAUUUACUGGGUGUAAAGGGAGCGUAGACGGUGAAGCAAGUCUGAUGUGAAAACCCGGGGCUCAACUCCGGGAGUGCAUUGGAAACUGUUUUACUUGAGUGCUGGAGGGGCAAGCGGAAUUCCUGGUGUAGCGGUGAAAUGCGUAGAUAUCAGGAAGAACACCGGUGGCGAAGGCGGCUUGCUGGACAGUAACUGACGUUGAGGCUCGAAAGCGUGGGGAGCAAACAGGAUUAGAAACCCCGGUAGUCC
rnacentral:rRNA from 1 species